rnacentral:piRNA from 1 species
UUUUUCAUGGUGAUACAUAGG